UCUGUUCCUCAAUUGACAUUUUAUAUCACUUAAAAAAGUAAUCAACUCUGAAAACUAUUGACUAUGGAAAACCUGCUGCAAGAAGGAAUUCUUAUGUCCUCUCAUUUUAGUGGUUGUUUUUGGUGAUUUCUUCUUGACCAUACAAGUGCAACGAAAGGAUUCUGGAGAUUAACUGUUUUGGUGUAGAAGACUCCAUGGCAAUGCCUAUGUGAUGCUAAAAUUGUCCAUGCUGGAGUUAUUUUUCAAAUAUUACUCUUAUAAGUUUUAGCUACAUAGCAACAUGAAAAGACUAUGAUUUGGGUAACUGUAACUGUGCACAUGCGAAUGCUGUUUGCACUGUUUUA